GAUGAACGCUGGCGGCGUGCCUAAUACAUGCAAGUCGAGCGAACAGAUGAGGAGCUUGCUCCUCUGACGUUAGCGGCGGACGGGUGAGUAACACGUGGAUAACCUACCUAUAAGACUGGGAUAACUUCGGGAAACCGGAGCUAAUACCGGAUAAUAUAUUGAACCGCAUGGUUCAAUAGUGAAAGACGGUUUUGCUGUCACUUAUAGAUGGAUCCGCGCCGCAUUAGCUAGUUGGUAAGGUAACGGCUUACCAAGGCAACGAUGCGUAGCCGACCUGAGAGGGUGAUCGGCCACACUGGAACUGAGACACGGUCCAGACUCCUACGGGAGGCAGCAGUAGGGAAUCUUCCGCAAUGGGCGAAAGCCUGACGGAGCAACGCCGAGUGAGUGAUGAAGGUCUUCGGAUCGUAAAACUCUGUUAUUAGGGAAGAACAAAUGUGUAAGUAACUAUGCACGUCUUGACGGUACCUAAUCAGAAAGCCACGGCUAACUACGUG
rnacentral:rRNA from 1 species